ensembl:lncRNA
GAAGGAGAGGAGACGCGUCUUACGAGCGGAGAUUUCUUCACAAAAUUGUUUUGUUUGAACAACAUACGCUGCUAAACUACCUCGGCUUUAUUAACUAUUACGUAAUUGAUAUGUUAUUUGUUGCAAGAAGUCUUAAGAUUAUACCUCAAUAUGUGUUUGUUUUUGUUUGUUUGUUUGUUUGUUUUUUACCUCAGAGAUCAGCGCGAUACUCUCACCAAGCAGGAAUGUUUAGAUGAUGCAUGCUCUGACACGAAGAAGCAUCCCAAAGAGCAGGUCACCCCAAAGACUGUCUCUCUUCACCAUAACAUCACACCAGGCACUUUGACAGUGAAGGAUCAAAGAACACAACACCAUUGGCCAUAGCUGCGUCCCCCGUUCAGCUCGCACUGGACCCUCAGAACGCGUGGCCUUUGUGUUGGACCAUAGAUGGACAGAUCUGAUGAGAACUGCCCAUGAUCAUCACUUGGUAACACACCAUGGGAGCAAGGAUCUUCUUAAACAGGUGGAUGGCUUGUUUUUUUUUUUUUCUUCUUCCUGUGUUCUCCACAACUUUAGAUUGUUUUAUUUUUACUAUUAUUGUAGUUGUUGUUGUUUAAUCUACCAUUUUAAAUUAAUUUAUUUCCAUUUGUUAAUUUAAAUACCAGAAGUAUUUUUGCACUGUACUUUAGUGUGUUUUUUAAAUUAAUUGUAUUGACUUGCAUUGUUAUUUUAUCUUGCUCAGUUUUGUAAACACUAAAUGUUAGUAACUGCUAUUAUUAAAUGCUGUAAAUAAUUAUUUAAUUUAAAAUACUCUACCAGCCAAAUGUUUUUCAGCAGUAAGAUUUUAAUGUUUUUUUUUAAAGAAGUCUCUUCUUAAUAAUAAUAAUAAUAAUAAUAAUCAGAAAUGUUUCUUGAGCAGCAAAUCAUCAUAUUAGAAUGAUUUCUGAAGAUCAUGUGACACUGAAGACUGGAGUAAUGAUGCUGAAAAUACAGCUGCACAUCACAGAAAUACAUUACAGUUUAAUAUAUAUUCACAUAGAAAACAGCUAUUUUAAAUAGUAAAAAUAUUUCACAAUAUUAUUGCUUUUACUGUAUUUUGGAUCAAAUAAAGGCAGGCUUGGUGAGCUUUAAAAUUCUUACUGUUCAAAAACAUUUAACUGGUAGUGUACAUUGUUUCUUGUUUGUUUUUUU